rnacentral:misc_RNA from 1 species
GGGGUAGGGUGAGUUUGUUUAAUGAUCUUCUGGUGAUUCAUGACAAGAAUAGCUGCUACACAAAAAACUGGUAAUUCAUCAACAGUACUUCUUGUUGAUGAGACUAUAUUAACACUGUGCAUGCCACUACUUUUGGACCAAAAAUUCUUUGUAAGACCACAAAAUGGAUGAGCUAAGGAAAGCUUCAUCCCGUUGUUUGCAGAGACAGUACGCUCUCCACUUCCAUGUUUAGAGGGUGAGUCAUCCUUUGAAUCACUAUUGUUAUUCUCAACAAUUUCUUCUCCUGAUUCAGCCUCAGAUUCCUUUGGAAUCUGAAUGACCAAUAUUUCAGGGCAGUUCUCCUCAAGACGAAAAGCAACUGAUUCAUCAAAAUCUGC